rnacentral:rRNA from 1 species
AUUGAACGCUGGCGGCAGGCUUAACACAUGCAAGUCGAGCGGUGUGAUGGUGCUUGCACUAUCACUUAGCGGCGGACGGGUGAGUAAUGCUUAGGAAUCUGCCUAUUAGUGGGGGACAACAUCUCGAAAGGGAUGCUAAUACCGCAUACGUCCUACGGGAGAAAGCAGGGGAUCACUUGUGACCUUGCGCUAAUAGAAGAGCCUAAGUCGGAUUAGCUAGUUGGUGGGGUAAAGGCCUACCAAGGCGACGAUCUGUAGCGGGUCCGAGAGGAUGAUCCGCCACCCUGGGACUGAGACACGGCCCAGACUCCUACGGGAGGCAGCAGUGGGGAAUAUUGGACAAUGGGGGGAACCCUGAUCCAGCCAUGCCGCGUGUGUGAAGAAGGCCUUAUGGUUGUAAAGCACUUUAAGCGAGGAGGAGGCUCUUUUGGUUAAUACCCAGAAUGAGUGGACGUUACUCGCAGAAUAAGCACCGGCUAACUCUGUGCCAGCCGCCGCGGUAA